UGACAUUGUAAAUGUAACAUAUAUAUUAACAGAAAAAUUUCUAACACACUUGCAGCCUGGGAACUGUUAGAGUCUGGGGAAUUCCUGGGGAGGAGUAGAUAUCCCAUAUUUCCUUAGAGACCUCCAAUAGAAAGGUUUAUUACAUGUGGGAACAAAAAUAUUAACUGGAAAUAAGAGAUCUCCGGACUUCGGAAAAUCUUGAGAAAAAGAGAACAUUGUAUAUUAGACAAAGACAAUAGGACUGUGGAAAGUAGCAUAGAGCCUUUGUUUCCACAGAUGUGUGAAUGAUUGGGUGAAGUUGUCCUCUGGUGGUUAAGAUAUUCAAAUACCCAAUCAUUUACUGCUAAGGGCAGAAAACUCGGCUGGUAUUCAGGAAACCGGGAUUUCAUUUCCAAAGCUGUGUCGGCCUGAUGGAUGACCCUGGGCAGUCAUUCUGCCUUUGUGCCUUAUUUUCUCUUCUGGAAAACAGGAAAAGCCGUGCCUGGGGCUGUCAUUCACCUUCCCUACAAGCAGCCAGAGGCAAAUGAAGCAUGACUUACUGCCAGAAAGCAAGCAGUUUGAUCUCUGGAAUUGGUAAGUUUAUUUUGGGAUGAAGUCUCUGCUGUCAUCCUUCCCUUUCUGUGC
ensembl:lncRNA